GAUUCCGUGGGCGUAGGAGCCUCCAAGCCAGGUGUGGGAUAUAAUCUCGUGGUUCGCCCUUUUUUGAGGGGUCUGAAAAGCGCAGUAUUUAGGGUGGGAGUGACCCGAUUUUCCAGGUGCCGUCUGUCACGCCUUUCUUUGACUUGGAAAGGGAACUCCCUGACCCCUUGCGCUUCCCAAGUGAGGCAAUGCCUCGCCCUGCUUGGGCUCGCGCAGGGUGCACGCACCCACUGGCCUGCGCCCACUGUCUGGCACUCCCUAGUGAGAUGAACCCGGUACCUCAGAUGGAAAUGCAGAAAUCACCGGUCUUUUGCAUCGCUCACGCUGGGAGCUGUAGACCGGAGCUUUUCCUGUUCGGCCAUCUUGGCUCCUCUAUCGGUGUUGUACUUCUUUAAAGGUCCUGAAGAAAAUGAAGUUGAUGUUUCAGUGAGACACCUGUAUGCCAGAGAGUAAAAGGGAUUAUUGUGGAUUCCUGAGAAUUUUCUACAUAUGAAAUCAUGUCAUCUAUGAACAGAGGAUCACAUCAAGAUUUCUUCUACAUAAGAGUUUGAAAUGACUUCAAGUACCUUUGCUGAAGUAUCACACACACAAAAAACACAUCACCCUGGCCCUUUAUUUUCCAUUACCCAGUUUUAUUUGUGUCAUAACGAUAUCAAGUAUAUAAAAUUGUCUUAUUUGGCUCUUUACAUGUUUCUCACCUUUAUUGCCAAUAAUUAAGAGUUAUAAAAAGCUCUUUUAUUAUUC
rnacentral:lncRNA from 10 species